rnacentral:sRNA from 1 species
CUCGACUAGCCCCAAUGAGUUGAGGGUGAGUGUGUAUGAGCCCUCAAGAGGGGUGCCCGUGGCGGAAUUAGAAGUAGUUAAAAGUAAGCAGAAGUUACGCCACGGGUAAACACUCG